AGUGAAUCCCCUCUCUCUCUCUGGCUCAAAUCCCCUCUCUUUCUACUGCUACGGCGAAUCGCCGCCACGAUCCCAACCCUUUCAACGAGGAAGAAGAUCUCCAUUCUCAUGAGCUUUACAAGAACAACAUUCAAGAUUUGCAGCUCCUUUCUUGGCCCUUCUUAAACCAUAUCAGUUUGGUUUCGUCUGGUCACGUUUGUUUGUGCUGAA